UACAGAGGUCUCAAGCGUUGUUCGGAUUCAUUGGGCGUGAAGGGUGCGCAGGCGGCGCGGUAAGUCGGGUGUGAAAUCUCGGAGCUUAACUCCGAAACUGCAUUCGAUACUGCCGUGCUUGAGGACUGGAGAGGAGACUGGAAUUUACGGUGUAGCGGUGAAAUGCGUAGAUAUCGUAAGGAAGACCAGUGGCGAAGGCGGGUCUCUGGACAGUUCCUGACGCUGAGGCACGAAGGCCAGGGGAGCAAACGGG
rnacentral:rRNA from 1 species